rnacentral:rRNA from 1 species
UACGUAGGGUGCAAGCGUUGUCCGGAAUUAUUGGGCGUAAAGAGCUCGUAGGCGGCUUGUCGCGUCUGCUGUGAAAUCCCGAGGCUCAACCUCGGGCUUGCAGUGGGUACGGGCAGGCUGGAGUGCGGUAGGGGAGAUUGGAAUUCCUGGUGUAGCGGUGGAAUGCGCAGAUAUCAGGAGGAACACCGAUGGCGAAGGCAGAUCUCUGGGCCGCUACUGACGCUGAGGAGCGAAAGCAUGGGGAGCGAACAGG